rfam:Oryza sativa (indica cultivar-group) chromosome 4, whole genome shotgun sequence.
AAAAAGACAAACCCUAAAUUUUCGUGUCUAACGUUUGACUGUCCGUCUUAUAUGAAUUUUUUUUAUAAUUAGUAUUUUUAUUAUUGUUAGAUAAUAAAACAUGAUUAAUACUUUAUACCUGACUUGUCUUUUUUUUUCAUAAUUUUUUCAAAUAAAACGGACGGUCAAACGUUGGACAUGUAAAUUCAGGGUUUGCCUUUUU